AAUAGAUACCCCGGGUAGUCCACGCCGUAAACGAUGGAUGCUAGCUGUUAUGCGUAUCGACCCGUGUAGUAGCGAAGCUAACGCGUCAAGCAUCCCGCCUGGGGAGUACGAACGCAAGUUUAAAACUCAAAGGAAUUGACGGGGACCCGCACAAGCGGUGGAGCGUGUUCUUUAAUUCGAGGCUAAGCGAAGAACCUUACCAGGGCUUGACAUCCUUGGAAUUUCUCCGAAAGGAGAGAGUACUUUAUUGGACCAAGUGACAGGUGCUGCAUGGCCGUCGUCAGCUCGUGUCGUGAGAUGUUUGGUUAAGUCCAUUAACGAGCGCAACCCUUAUGAAUAGUUGUAUUUUUCUAUUCAGACUGCCCCGGUAACGGGGAGGAAGGGGGGGAUGAUGUCAGGUCAGUAUUGCCCUUACGGCCCUGGGCUAGAAACGCGCUACAAUGGCCGGUACAAUGCGCUGCCAACCCGCGAGGGGGAGCGAAAUCGGCAUCAAAGCCGGUCCCAGUUCGGAUAAGAGGCUGAAACUCGCCUCUUUGAAGCCGGAAUCGCUAGU
rnacentral:rRNA from 1 species